rnacentral:tRNA from 1 species
GCCUCUGUAGCAUAGUUAGUGGUGCGCGGCCUUGGUAAGGCCGAGGUCCGGGGUGCAACUCCCCGCAGAGGCU